rnacentral:tRNA from 1 species
GGGACUGGGGCUCAGUGGUAGAGCACUUGCCUGGCAUGUGUGAGGCACUGGGUUCGAUUCUCAGCACCA